GUGACAGCAGCCGCGGUAAAACGUAGGAGGCGAGCGUUAUCCGGAUUUACUGGGUGUAAAGCGCGUGCAGGCGGUCGGUUAAGUUGGCUGUGAAAGCUCCCGGCUCAACUGGGAGAGGUCGGUCAAGACUGGCGGACUGGAGAGCAGUAGGGGAAGGUGGAAUUCCGGGUGUAGUGGUGAAAUGCGUAGAUAUCCGGAGGAACACCAGUGGCGAAGGCGGCCUUCUGGACUGCAUCUGACGCUCAGGCGCGAAAGCUAGGGGAGCAAACGGGAUUAGAAACCCGAGUAGUCC
rnacentral:rRNA from 1 species